UUUGGAUCUGAUCAGUCAUCAAGAUUUUACUCACUGCUGUUGAGUCAGUGUCCUCCACGAAGUUGGACUGGUGGACAGCGCAUCUUGAUUUUAAGACUGGACUGACUGAGUUGGAUACAAUGGCUGCUUCUUGGACUUUAUAACCUCUCCUCCGUAUCUGGAUUGUCAAGCAGCCAUAAACACAGCAUGUUGCCAGAAAUAAACAAGACAUCACGACCGGAGCCCUUCCCUCACCCUCACAGACUCCAAACAGAGGGAAACCGGCUUGGAACAAACAGACCCUGCUCACAGAAGUUCGGCUCUGGUGUAGGGACUUUGCCUCAGCUUGAUCCACCCGUGGUCCAGGUGGUGGUCAGUAAUGCCAAAAACCAGCACCCGCAGUCGGACAACAUCUUGCCCCAAAUUGCCAACAAGGGGGGGCACAACAACUUCCAGACACACCCAGUGAGUUUCUCAUACCAUUACAUGUGUAUUAUUAGCAACUUAUGGAAUCCAACAGUAGCAGCUACAUUGCAGCC
rnacentral:lncRNA from 1 species